AUACGGAGGGUGCAAGCGUUGCUGGGAAUCACUGGGCGUAAAGCGCGCGCAGGCGGCUAUUUAAGUUGGAUGAGAAAGCCUAUGGCUCAACCAUAGAACUGCAUCCAAAACUAUUUAGCUAGAGUGUGGGAGAGGAAGAUGGAAUUAGUUGUGUAGGGGUAAAAUCCGCAGAGAUAACUAGGAAUACCAAAAGCGAAGGCAAUCUUCUGGAACACUACUGACGCUGAGGCGCGAAAGCGUGGGGAGCAAACGGGAUUAGAUACCCCAGUAGUCC
rnacentral:rRNA from 1 species